rnacentral:rRNA from 1 species
CCCCUAGAUGUUCUGGGCCGCACGCGCGCUACACUGAACAGUUCAACAAGUCUUAACCUUGGCCGAUAGGUCUGGGUAAUCUUUGAACGCUGUUCGUGAUUGGGAUAGACCUUUGCAAUUAUGGGUCUUCAACGAGGAAUUCCUAGUAAACGCAAGUCAUCAGCUUGCAUUGAUUACGUCCCUGCCCUUUGUACACACCGCCCGUCGCACCUACCGAUUGAAGGGUCCGGUGAAAUCUCGGGACGGCGGCUUGGUCGCUUGCGUCCGACUGCUGAAACUUGAUUAAACCAUAUCAUUUAGAGGAAGGUGAAGUCGUAACA